AGAGAGACAGGGAGAGUAGGAGAAAUGAGAGAAAAUAAAGUAGAUGACAGAAAAAGUGAGACAGGAAGGAAGACAAAGAAUAGAAGGGAAGUAAAAGGGGAUAAGUACAAAGAGGGAGAGAAAAGAGAGAACAUUAAGAAGAGUAGUGAUAACAUUCACAUGCUGGAGUCGUCCCACAUGCACAGGAAUAACCCUACAUUACACAACAUUGUUUCAUUUGUGGUGAAAGGUUCUGAAAGCGGAAUUGUAAAUGUAAUCCCCAAGUUAUGAAGUAUGCCUAGCUACAGUCUAUAGGGUGUGUGAGACAGAGGUGCAAACAAAGUGUGUGUGUGGAUGAGAGGUAUAGAGAAAGUGUGUACGUGUGUGUGAGAGCAAGCCGAGAUGCAGAGAAAGUGUGUCUCUGCCUUUACAGAAGGUCUACAUUAGUACAGACUACAGUCACGUGGAGAGGCAGACAAUCAGACAUAAUGACUGUAGUACCUUCAUCUAAUGAACCAUGACCACAAGUACCAAUUCUAAAAAUAAGACAGGAAUACAUACACACAUGGUGUGACCCCAUCCCCUUAUCCUCCCCAUCAUUGCCCAGGGGAUUAUGCUAAUGAGAGAGUGUUAAAGGGAAAUAAGGAGCUCAGCUAAUUGGAGAAGAGUUACACAGGGAAAGUCAUUUGGUUGGCCCUUGAUUGAAUGUUAGGCUUAUAAUUAUGACUGUGGUACUGAUGAUCUUAUAGCAACGCUCUGUAAUGUAAACAAUGGAGCAUCCAAUGACCUUUACACAUGUAAAUAGCAGUUUUCAAUUAGACCACAACAUGUAAAUAAAAUAAAAACGCUUUGGUUUCCCAGUAAAACUAUGAAAACUGUCCAUUUUUAUUGAACCUUUAUGUCGCCCCAAUAAUAAAUGAUCAUUUCUUAAAAUGAUCUCAGAGUAGUUCCCCCUGACAUGUAUGAAGUCAUUAUUGUUCAGAACAUGGCAUGUUUAAUAGGUCUUAUACGUCCAGUUAUAGGACAUAGAAGGGAGUGUUACUAGGUGAUUAGGAUGUAAUAUAGCCUGUUGUCCACAUGGCAGUAGUCCAGUUAUAGGACAUAGAAGGGAGUGUUACUAGGUGAUUAGGAUGUAAUAUAGCCUGUUGUCCACAUGGCAGUAGUCCAGUUAUAGGACGUAGAAGGGAGUGUUACUUGGUGAUUAGGGUGUAAUACAGCCUGUUGUCCACAUGGCAGUAGUCCAGUUAUAGGACAUAGAAGGGAGUGUUACUAGGUGAUUAGGAUGUAAUAUAGCCUGUUGUCCACAUGGCAGUAGUCCAGUUAUAGGACAUAGAAGGGAGUGCUACUAGGUGAUUAGGGUGUAAUACAGCCUGUUGUCCACAUGGCAGUAGUCCAGUUAUAGGACAUAGAAGGGAGUGUUACUAGGUGAUUAGGGUGUAAUAUAGCCUGUUGUCCACAUGGCAGUAGUCCAGUUAUAGGACGUAGAAGGGAGUGUUACUAGGUGAUUAGGGUGUAAUACAGCCUGUUGUCCACAUGGCAGUAGUCCAGUUAUAGGACAUAGAAGGGAGUGUUACUAGGUGAUUAGGGUGUAAUACAGCCUGUUGUCCACAUGGCAGUAGUCCAGUUAUAGGACGUAGAAGGGAGUGUUACUAGGUGAUUAGGGUGUAAUACAGCCUGUUGUCCACAUGGCAGUAGUCCAGUUAUAGGACAUAGAAGGGAGUGUUACUAGGUGAUUAGGGUGUAAUACAGCCUGUUGUCCACAUGGCAGUAGUCCAGUUAUAGGACGUAGAAGGGAGUGUUACUAGGUGAUUAGGGUGUAAUACAGCCUGUUGUCCACAUGGCAGUAGUCCAGUUAUAGGACGUAGAAGGGAGUGUUACUAGGUGAUUAGGGUGUAAUAUAGCCUGUUGUCCACAUGGCAGUAUUCCAGUUAUAGGACGUAGAAGGGAGUGUUACUAGGUGAUUAGGGUGUAAUACAGCCUGUUGUCCACAUGGCAGUAGUCCAGUUAUAGGACGUAGAAGGGAGUGUUACUAGGUGAUUAGGGUGUAAUACAGCCUGUUGUCCACAUGGCAGUAGUCCAGUUAUAGGACAUAGAAGGGAGUGUUACUAGGUGAUUAGGGUGUAAUACAGCCUGUUGUCCACAUGGCAGUAGUCCAGUUAUAGGACAUAGAAGGGAGUGUUACUAGGUGAUUAGGGUGUAAUACAGCCUGUUGUCCACAUGGCAGUAGUCCAGUUAUAGGACAUAGAAGGGAGUGUUACUAGGUGAUUAGGGUGUAAUACAGCCUGUUGUCCACAUGGCAGUAGUCCAGUUAUAGGACAUAGAAGGGAGUGUUACUAGGUGAUUAGGGUGUAAUACAGCCUGUUGUCCACAUGGCAGUAGUCCAGUUAUAGGACGUAGAAGGGAGUAUUACUGGGUGAUUAGGGUGUAAUACAGCCUGUUGUCCACAUGGCAGUAGUCCAGUUAUAGGACAUAGAAGGGAGUGUUACUAGGUGAUUAGGGUGUAAUAUAGCCUGUUGUCCACAUGGCAGUAGUCCAGUUAUAGGACGUAGAAGGGAGUAUUACUAGGUGAUUAGGGUGUAAUACAGCCUGUUGUCCACAUGGCAGUAGUCCAGUUAUAGGACAUAGAAGGGAAUGUUACUAGGUGAUUAGGGUGUAAUACAGCCUGUUGUCCACAUGGCAGUAGUCCAGUUAUAGGACGUAGAAGGGAGUGUUACUAGGUGAUUAGGGUGUAAUACAGCCUGUUGUCCACAUGGCAGUAGUCCAGUUAUAGGACAUAGAAGGGAGUGUUACUAGGUGAUUAGGGUGUAAUACAGCCUGUUGUCCACAUGGCAGUAGUCCAGUUAUAGGACGUAGAAGAGAGUGUUACUAGGUGAUUAGGGUGUAAUAUAGCCUGUUGUCCACAUGGCAGUAGUCCAGUUAUAGGACAUAGAAGGGAGUGUUACUAGGUGAUUAGGGUGUAAUACAGCCUGUUGUCCACAUGGCAGUAGUCCAGUUAUAGGACAUAGAAGGGAGUGUUACUUGGUGAUUAGGGUGUAAUACAGCCUGUUGUCCACAUGGCAGUAGUCCAGUUAUAGGACGUAGAAGGGAGUGUUACUAGGUGAUUAGGGUGUAAUACAGCCUGUUGUCCACAUGGCAGUAGUCCAGUUAUAGGACAUAGAAGGGAGUGUUACUAGGUGAUUAGGGUGUAAUACAGCCUGUUGUCCACAUGGCAGUAGUCCAGUUAUAGGACAUAGAAGGGAGUGUUACUAGGUGAUUAGGGUGUAAUACAGCCUGUUGUCCACAUGGCAGUAGUCCAGUUAUAGGACAUAGAAGGGAGUGUUACUAGGUGAUUAGGGUGUAAUACAGCCUGUUGUCCACAUGGCAGUAGUCCAGUUAUAGGACAUAGAAGGGAGUGUUACUAGGUGAUUAGGGUGUAAUACAGCCUGUUGUCCACAUGGCAGUAGUCCAGUUAUAGGACGUAGAAGGGAGUAUUACUGGGUGAUUAGGGUGUAAUACAGCCUGUUGUCCACAUGGCAGUAGUCCAGUUAUAGGACAUAGAAGGGAGUGUUACUAGGUGAUUAGGGUGUAAUAUAGCCUGUUGUCCACAUGGCAGUAGUCCAGUUAUAGGACGUAGAAGGGAGUAU